rnacentral:rRNA from 1 species
AUUGAACGCUGGCGGCAGGCUUAACACAUGCAAGUCGAGCGGAGAUGAGGUGCUUGCACCUUAUCUUAGCGGCGGACGGGUGAGUAAUGCUUAGGAAUCUGCCUAUUAGUGGGGGACAACAUUCCGAAAGGAAUGCUAAUACCGCAUACGUCCUACGGGAGAAAGCAGGGGAUCUUCGGACCUUGCGCUAAUAGGUGAGCCUAAGUCGGAUUAGCUAGUUGGUGGGGUAAAGGCCUACCAAGGCGACGAUCUGUAGCGGGUCUGAGAGGAUGAUCCGCCACACUGGGACUGAGACACGGCCCAGACUCCUACGGGAGGCAGCAGUGGGGAAUAUUGGACAAUGGGGGGAACCCUGAUCCAGCCAUGCCGCGUGUGUGAAGAAGGCCUUAUGGUUGUAAAGCACUUUAAGCGAGGAGGAGGCUACUGAGACUAAUACUCUUGGAUAGUGGACGUUACUCGCAGAAUAAACACCGGCUAACUCUGUGCCAGCCGCCGCCGUAAAAC